AGGGCUAAGUUUAUAAACUAGUAUUGGCUCUUUUCUAUAUACAGUGCUAACUACUUGCAUAAAUGCAUAAAUUCCCAUUUUUGUAUAAUUUUUUGAGAAAUCAAAUCAAAAUAUUAAGGAAGAGAAAUAAUUUGACACCCUUAUGCUAGGGAUUUUGUCGGGUAGAAUCAUCUUCGCUAUAACUGCAAGGAUCGGAAGAUUUCCGAGAACACCAGUGAUCUGGAACACUAAGAAAAUAUGUAGACAUAAACUUUCUGAAUCUCUUUUUGUACUCUAUUGGAGAGAUUACAGUUGGUAAGACAUUCUUGGGCACAACAAGUGAUGACUUCAUCCAUGUCUCAAGAUGCUUGUCCCAGGUAUACUGCCUCAGAUAAUCGAUAAUCCCGCAAACUAUCUCGCCCUUCUUUGAAUCUACUCCGACAAGUAAGGAGUAAUCCAUCACAUUUACUGACUGAAUAUUGAGCAAACGGUGAAUCAUAUAAGAUAGUCAGGAAAUAAAUUCCAAAAAAGAACAAAUUUCAAGGAAAAUAUGAACACAAGGGCAACAAAUUCAACAGCAGAUAUAUCAAUGUGACAAUUUAGGCUCAAAGAUAGAAUGCUUUUGAUGCAGACUUACAUUGAGAAAACUUGUAUCAUUCCAAAUAGCCCGUUCAAGAUGGCACUUUGCUUUAUGACUGACAUAUAAUGGAGAAGAGUUCAUGUCAUUCACAAAGUUCUGAUCCAAAAGAACAUCUCCAGCACCAUCAGCAGCAGAUUUGUACCGAGCAAAAAGAGCACCUUUAAGAUCAUACUGGCGAGUAAUAUUGCGAUUGUAAGUAAAUGGUGCAACUCUAUUUCGUUUAUAUUUCUCUCUCUCGUAACAAUUUUUUUCCAUUUUUAAUGUUGAUUUACAACUUUAAAAACGUUGCUUAUUUAACUUACCAUUGCGAUAUAAGAACAUGCUUAUUUCGCUAAGAACUGUUUUUUUAUUACCAUUGUGGGUGCUCUUAGGGAACUUGUUAACAAAACCCUAAAUAUAUUAUUACCUCAAUGAAGCUUGCAUUGAUAUAGCCAAGUGCUGCAGGUCUAUAAUCUGUGCUUGAUUUGAGAACAACCCUAUUGUUGUCAACUAAAUCAAGAGAAAUUAAAACAAAAUAAAUAAAAAAAUGCAGAACAUUAAAUCUUAAUAAUAAAAUUAUGAAGUGUUGGAGAGUGAAAAUUUUACAUGGAACUACAUCAGUAUAACGAUUUUUGUUGAGAUUAACGGCAUCAAAAGCAACAUUGCAUCUUCUUCUCAUUUGAGUUGGCGUUAUCCGAUUGGCCUGCAAGUGAUCGAAGUCUUGAAGGAUUGAGUUAGGGUUACGGAUCUUGUCGUUGAAGAAGGUGAGAGCUUGGGUGCAGUAGUUGAGUUGAUCGAGAGUGAGAGAGAUUCUCGGUGGAAAAUCGGGUGAGAAAUUGAACUCCGACUCGGAGGGGUUGCCGGAGGAGGAGGAGGCCAUGGUGGAUGAGCGGCGGAGACGGAGACGGUUAGAGAGGUGGUUCCCCAGCACAGCGACUUUGUUAAUCCCAGACUUAGAUUUUCUUUGUGUAGCGUGAUUCCACUAUCAUAACAAAUAGGAAUGGCAAUGAAUACCCGAUCCACGAUCCGUGGUUAUUGGGUUCGAGUAAUACAUUACCCGGACUUGCUAUCCCUAAUAGUACACUAUAAUUGAUCAAUGCUCUAUUAUUAUUAGUAGUAUCAGUAUCAACAUAGAAAAGAAUGUAUCAAUGCUCUUUUAUUUUGAUUUUCUUUAAUCUUAUUGCAAAUCUUCUUUUGAUGUUUUAUGGUAAAUUAUAUGUAUUUUUUCAAACCUGUUAUCAUUUAUUUAAGUAUUUUUUUACAUUAUUGCUGUAUAUGCAUAUACUGCAAGCAAAGUGCAAUCAUCUGCUAUUACUAAGUGAUAAAUCAUUGCACCAGCCCAACUGAGUUAUAAAGAAUAUAAUGUUAACCAAAUUCACUGUGACACAUAAUGAGUUUAUUAUAGAGAAAGUUUCAUAGAAUUAAUGUAAAAAAUGAUGAAUUAUGUAUCCAAGUGAACCACAUAUAUAUUUCCAUACAAUGCUAAUCCAGAAUCUAGUUUCCUCAUGGCUAACCAACAGAUAAAGGAAUGGUUGGGUAUAUUGAAUUUCCCCCAAAAAAAAAACAAUGAGGUUAAAAUUUGUGCCUUGACCGUGUAAAUUUUUUUACAUUUUCAGCACAUCAUCCACUAUUGAUUUGUAAUACUUUUGUUUGAAAGUCAAUAAUAGUUAACAUAUGAAUGGUGUAGAUUCACUGAGAGUGUUAGUCUGUUAGUAUAUACAUAUUAAAUCCAACAUUAUUUGGCCAAUGUACUAUGGUAGACUAACCAAUAAGCCAAUUGCAAGCUGAAUGGAUAGUAUAGUCUUGAUGACAUCUUUUCAGAAACUAGUUAACAACCCUGGAAAUAGAUUUAAUACUUGAAAUCAAUGUAUUAGAACUAGUGGAUCAAGAAACAAUUUCUUAUGGUGAACUUAUGAAGUGACAAAUGAGAAACAUACUGUAAUAUAAAUACAGUGCAAAUAUUCAAACAAAUUAUGCAUAUAACUCAAGAAAUAGUAAUAGCAAGCAGAUAGGAGAAACAAUCUAAAGCAUGUCCUUUUACUCUGGUUUAUACUUUAUACAAUAGAAUAGCAUAAAAGGGGAAUAGCAUAAACUGGACUUUUCAUUGAUUCAAGGUAAACCUUAACAUUUUGCUUAGGUUUUACAAAAAUAUUCAUCACAUGCUGGACAAGCAUGUAGAAAAUAACAACAACCCUAGGAAUUGGCUAAAAAAAUGAAGAAUAACAGGGCUAAGUUUAUAAACUAGUAUUGGCUCUUUUCUAUAUACAGUGCUAACUACUUGCAUAAAUGCAUAAAUUCCCAUUUUUGUAUAAUUUUUUGAGAAAUCAAAUCAAAAUAUUAAGGAAGAGAAAUAAUUUGACACCCUUAUGCUAGGGAUUUUGUCGGGUAGAAUCAUCUUCGCUAUAACUGCAAGGAUCGGAAGAUUUCCGAGAACACCAGUGAUCUGGAACACUAAGAAAAUAUGUAGACAUAAACUUUCUGAAUCUCUUUUUGUACUCUAUUGGAGAGAUUACAGUUGGUAAGACAUUCUUGGGCACAACAAGUGAUGACUUCAUCCAUGUCUCAAGAUGCUUGUCCCAGGUAUACUGCCUCAGAUAAUCGAUAAUCCCGCAAACUAUCUCGCCCUUCUUUGAAUCUACUCCGACAAGUAAGGAGUAAUCCAUCA
rnacentral:lncRNA from 1 species